rnacentral:lncRNA from 1 species
UUGUCUAAGAAGAAUAAAAAUAAGAAGAAGCAGGCAAGCGAGAAACCGAAAGGAUCAUUUCCACGACUGGUCAUCUAAAUGGCAAAUGUCCGAUGAAGAAAAUGACAAGUCGUGUCGCGUGAUCAACAAAAUGUAAGGAAAUUCAGGGUGGGUUUGUGUGGCCAAUACAAGGCAAAACAAGGCAAGGCAAGACAAGGCAAGGCAAGGCAAGGCAAGGCAAGGAAAAAAGAGUUGUCCCCCGUCAUUGUACACUUUUUCUUUCUCGAGAAUGAGAGAAAAAGUAAAGAAACCCGAAAGAGAAAUAUAAAAGGCUGGAUGUAAAGAAGACUGCUGAGGAGGCUUCACUCAACGAGAAAUAUUACACAAUCUGUGUGCUGUGUGCGCAGCUCGCCGCCUCAACCUUUCUCCCUCACCUCUCCGGAACUCAACGAGAAGGUAGGAGUUGAACAGGCAACCAACCAACCAACCAACCAACCAACCAACCAACCAAGCUAGCUAGCUAGCAAGCAAGCAAGCAAACAAGCAAGCAAGCUGGCUGGCAAGCUGGCUGGCAGCACACUGGCAGCAAGCGAGCAGGUAUAACACCACGUCUUUCAACACGACACGACAAUUAUGAAAUUCGUGAGUCCCUAAAUGGAGACACGUCUGAAAGCCGUUUUGCACGUUAUGUUGUUGUCCCUCUUACAAUACUUUAGAGACACAACCAUUGUUGUAUCUUCUUCUUCUUCUACUUUAUUGUUUUCUUUCUUUAUUUCUUUUCUUAACGUUAGAUAGAAUUCGGAUCAAUAAAUACUCAAACAAGACAGAGAGAGAAAGAGAGAUAUCCUAAUAGAAUAUCGAGGAAUGUAGCCACGUGGCAAACAGAUGAAACACUAGUUCCUAUUUUUCCUAUUAUGAUUCUUUAGAAAAGAUUUACUUUUGGAAAGCGUUACGACGAAACAUUCUUUUAUUUUUCUAUCACACAAAUCCGAUGAAAAUAAAAUAUUUUAGGAUCCUUUAUUCUAUUUUUCUUUUCUUUUUUUUUUAAAAAAGGUACCUGAACAUUAAGACGAACGAAUACGUUUGUUAUUCCAAAAUGAUCGAGAAAACAGAUACGGUUGUUGAUUUUGUGAAUAAUAUUAUAAGUUUAAGGGGGAUCAUUCCUUCCUUCCUCCCCUUGAAGAAAUUUUACAGGCGUGUGGUGCGUUUGUUUCUCCUCCAAUAGAAAGUGAGAUAGAACAAAAGGUAACGAACAGAAAGACUUUUGCCCCGUGGGCAUAAACCUGGAACGAAAUGUCUUUACCUCGAAUUUCCAGACGUGACACUUGCGCAAGUAUCUCUUUCUUGGGCUUGGACUGUUAUACGUAGAACACAGUUCAUGUAUUUAACUCCUGUCUGACUAACGAACGCGUUACUACUUAAAUCAAGUAGUUCAACUUACGAGAUUAACUUUGUUAACAUGAAACAGAUUAAUUCAAGAUUAUUCUUCAUCGAAUACUAAAAAGGAAACUAAACGAAAACGAAAACGAAAAUGAAUAUUUUUAACGAAAAUUACAAAAAUUAUAAGCUCGAAGUUUAAUCAGUAAUUGAGAUAUAUUAGAAAAUUAUGAAUUAUAAAGAACAAAAUAGUAUUAUCGGUGGUGAUUUCAGUUUUUUAAUAAUUGAAAAAUAUAAGGAAAUAUUAAUAAACCUUUUUACCAAUCUAGAGAGAACUAUGAGACAAUGAGAAUAUUUUCUUUUUUGUAUCCAAAUCGAAACCUUAAACUACUAUAAAUAAUUAUUCUAGUUUUUUUUUUUUCAAAUUAUUCACCGACGUAACAUCAUUUGAUUUACAUAUUUAAAUAAUUCCUAACGGUAUUAUCGUUUUAAUUUAUACCCAUUAUUCUAACAGUCUGGCUGUUGGUUGACAGUAGUCAAACUGGAGCCGAUAAAAAUUUA